AGAACCUUGCCCAGCUGAGCCCAGGGAAGUUGUGUCUUAGCCUAACCGUUUCAUUCCGUUUCUCUGACUUUGCAAUUACCAGAAGUAUGAACUUCGUUUGGAACGACAUUUGUCCAAGGUUAUGAUAACAAACAACUGUCUCUCCAGUGAUGCAUUUGUUCCGUGCACCCAGCUCAAGGCCCUUCUCCUGCUUUUCUCUCAAGUCUCACUCGUCCUCCAUCAUCUGGGCCAGAAAGUUCCUGCUUCAGAGCUGAAGGUGGCCGUGUGGUUUUCACCUCAAAUCUUCAGCAAGAGCUAGAGAGAAAAAGAGUCUGAACAAUCAGUCACAUUUCCUGUGGAGUCCCAGUAAUAUCCCU
rnacentral:lncRNA from 1 species